UGAUAUUUUCAAAAGAGUUUAGUUUAAUAAAAAUUAGGACUUUUUGCCUAUGUGUUAUUUAAGUUAUUUUGGCUUAAGAUAUAUGUAUUUGAGCAUGAUAUUAGUGUAUAAUUAUGUUUGAGUAAGUCUUUUGUUGGCUAAGAAAUUUUUGACUUAGUUUAGUUUGUAUGAGUUUUUGAGUUUUCAUAUUUUGAGAAGUCGAUGAUUGAUAAAAUGAGGUUUAAUUGCUUUAUGACCAUUAUGUGAAAGUUUGUCAUGUUUUAUUAAGAGUUUUAUGAUGAUACAUGAAGUUUCAUUAGAGUUUAGUACAUGAUAAAAGGGAAUCUAUAUGUGUAUAAUGAUUUAUAUGAUGAAUGAGAUC
rnacentral:lncRNA from 1 species